GAGGGUGUAGCUCAAUUGGCAGAGCGUCAGCCUUCCAAGCUGAAUGUUGCCGGUUCGACCCCGGUCACCCUCU
rnacentral:tRNA from 1 species